CAGUAGCCGCGGUAAUACGUAGGUGGCAAGCGUUGUCCGGAAUUAUUGGGCGUAAAGCGCGCGCAGGUGGUUUAAUAAGUCUGAUGUGAAAGCCCACGGCUCAACCGUGGAGGGUCAUUGGAAACUGUUAAACUUGAGUGCAGGAGAGAAAAGUGGAAUUCCUAGUGUAGCGGUGAAAUGCGUAGAUAUAUGGAGGAACACCAGUGGCGAAGGCGACUCUCUGGUCUGUAACUGACGCUGAGGAGCGAAAGCGUGGGGAGCGAACAGGAUUAGAUACCCGUGUAGUCCCUGUCCUUAUACA
rnacentral:rRNA from 1 species